UACGUAGGGUGCAAGCGUUAAUCGGAAUUACUGGGCGUAAAGCGUGCGCAGGCGGUGAUGUAAGACAGAUGUGAAAUCCCCGGGCUCAACCUGGGAACUGCAUUUGUGACUGCAUCGCUGGAGUACGGCAGAGGGGGAUGGAAUUCCGCGUGUAGCAGUGAAAUGCGUAGAUAUGCGGAGGAACACCGAUGGCGAAGGCAAUCCCCUGGGCCGAUACUGACGCUGAGGAGCGAAAGCGUGGGGAGCGAACAGG
rnacentral:rRNA from 1 species